AACGAACGCUGGCGGCAUGCCUAACACAUGCAAGUCGAACGAGACCUUCGGGUCUAGUGGCGCACGGGUGCGUAACACGUGGGAAUUUGCCUCGGGGUAUGGAAUAAACUCAGGGAAACUUGAGCUAAUACCAUAUAAUGUCUUCGGAUCAAAGAUUUAUCGCCCUGAGAUAAGCCCGCGUAGGAUUAGCUAGUUGGUGGGGUAAAGGCUCACCAAGGCGACGAUCCUUAGCUGGUCUGAGAGGAUGAUCAGCCACACUGGGACUGAGACACGGCCCAGACUCCUACGGGAGGCAGCAGUGGGGAAUAUUGGACAAUGGGCGAAAGACCUGAUCCAGCAAUGCCGCGUGAGUGAUGAAGG
rnacentral:rRNA from 1 species